CUAUUAGUUUGCAGUGGCAUCUUGUUGUUUUAAUUUGCAAUUCCCCAAUGACGUAUGAUGUGGAGCACCUCUUCAUAGGCUUACUUGCCAUCUGUAUG